AACGCACCUUGCGCUCCUUGGUAUUCCUUGGAGCAUGCCUGUUUGAGUAUCAUGAAAUUAUCAAAGCAAGUCUUUCGUUCAUUCGAUCGACUUUGUUUUGGACUUGGAGGUCUGCAGAUUCACGUCUGCUCCUCUUAAAUGCAUUAGCUGGAUCUCAGUGAGCUCGGUUCCACUCGGCGUGAUAAGUAUCACUCGCUGAGGACACCCAUAAAAAAGGUGGCCGGGAUCGCGGAUGAACCGCUUCCAAUAGUCCAUUUGCUUGGACAAUACACUUUAUGAUCUGAUCUCAAAUCAGGUAGGACUACCCGCUGAACUUAA
rnacentral:misc_RNA from 1 species